rnacentral:rRNA from 1 species
GCGGUAAUACGGAGGGUGCGAGCGUUAAUCGGAAUUACUGGGCGUAAAGCGCAUGCAGGUGGUUUGUUAAGUCAGAUGUGAAAGCCCGGGGCUCAACCUCGGAAUUGCAUUUGAAACUGGCAAACUAGAGUACUGUAGAGGGGGGUAGAAUUUCAGGUGUAGCGGUGAAAUGCGUAGAGAUCUGAAGGAAUACCGGUGGCGAAGGCGGCCCCCUGGACAGAUACUGACACUCAGAUGCGAAAGCGUGGGGAGCAAACAGGAUUAGAUACCCUGGUAGUCCACGCCGUAAACGAUGUCUACUUGGAGGUUGUGGCCUUGAGCCGUGGCUUUCGGAGCUAACGCGUUAAGUAGACCGCCUGGGGAGUACGGUCGCAAGAUUAAAACUCAAAUGAAUUGACGGGGGCCCGCACAAGCGGUGGAGCAUGUGGUUUAAUUCGAUGCAACGCGAAGAACCUUACCUACUCUUGACAUCCAGAGAAUCCUACGGAGACGUGGGAGUGCCUUCGGGAACUCUGAGACAGGUGCUGCAUGGCUGUCGUCAGCUCGUGUUGUGAAAUGUUGGGUUAAGUCCCGCAACGAGCGCAACCCUUAUCCUUGUUUGCCAGCACUUCGGGUGGGAACUCCAGGGAGACUGCCGGUGAUAAACCGGAGGAAGGUGGGGACGACGUCAAGUCAUCAUGGCCCUUACGAGUAGGGCUACACACGUGCUACAAUGGCGCAUACAGAGGGCGGCCAACUUGCGAAAGUGAGCGAAUCCCAAAAAGUGCGUCG